rnacentral:lncRNA from 1 species
UCCAGGAUCUGUCAACAGGAGAAACAAAUGCCAAAAGAAAAACAGAGAAAUUCAUCUCCAAAUCAUUGGCUUGUUUCAAGAUAUACUCUGGCCUUCAUGCUGCUGAUAAUUCUGAUUCUGGGAAAUAUGACCAGCUAAUUUUCUUUUUGAGGUUUUACUAUGAUUCAGGUAUUUUGCGUAUGUUACAGAGUAUCUUGGUGGGGUCAGAGUUGAGACUGAAGUAAGAUAGAAGGAAGAAUCAACUUUGUUGUCAUAGGACAGUGUGGACAACAAACCAAAAGAACUGCAGAGACAUGAGUCGUGAAACCAACUUCUUGGCCCCACAAUUUCUCGAGAGGUUAAAAGUCUGCAUGGAAGCCACUAGUCGGUGAGGCCUGAAGAACAUGGGGAUAUAUUUGGUAUUCACCUCUGGAACUCACUGGAAAUGUUGGGAAAUGACUCCAUGAAAGGAAAGGCCUUCUUAGUCAUCAGCAAGUGGGGAAACAAGGCAUUGAGAGGCAGUGUCUUGCCUCUACAUAUGACCUAGUUGGUUUGUUUCCAUGGACAGGUUAGGCCAGAACUCAGUGAUACAGAUAUGUGGAA